CCUGGAUAAUUUCAACCAGAAAGUAAAGAAGAGAUUCAGUACCUCUCUGGUACUUGGGAAUCACAAAAUGGGAAAUGAGAAGCCACCAGUGGUCAUAUUUCUUGUUCCACGGAGAAGGCCUCCUGAUUACUCUACAAAUCCUUUUGGAUUCUUGUUCUUAGAACGAUUGCACAAUUAGCUGUCAGAGAGACAGGGAUAACCUCCCAGUAAGAGUCAGGCGUCUGAAUUCUGCAUGAACAAAGUCGAGGGGAAAAACCAACCCUGUACCAGAUUUACGAGAAGAGUUACCUUUAUAAAAUCUAUAUGAACUAGAAAGUGAUGCAGAUGAAGGGGAGGCUGCUUGAUAAAACUAAAGCCUGCAGUUCUCAAAGAGAUGCCUUUAGAAGUGCGGUUCAAUUUUAAGUUUCCCACAUCGUGCUAAUUAGAACAUACAUUCCAAUUAGAAUUAGAUUGCACUUCAGGAAGUGAAUUAUUAAGUGACCCAGCACAUUUUGAUGUUUUCAAAUGCCCAAACUCCCAGCUUUGGAGGACAAUGAGCCUUUAAUGAUAAUUUAUUCCCCUCUUGUCCCCAUUAUUGCUACAUAGCUGGGAGCCCUAGAUUCUUGCUGGGCUCUGGAGACCCAGUGCAGACGUUUCUAGAGGAGGAUACCAAUUAGCCAGCUUGGUUUCACAAAGAAGCAAAGAUUGCCCUGAGGUGCAAACUCUGCCUUAGAGGGAACACCCUUGAAUUUUAACCAUCUUUAUUGCUAAUGAUUCGAAGUCAGCACAGAAUUCGGCCUUUCCCUCACCAUUUCAUUAUCUCCACUCCUGGAUUUAAAAACACAUACUUUCUUCCUUAUGAAGGUGACGAUAAAGACAGGCAAUUCACUAUGUACAUAAAAGCAAGUGACCACUUUCUGCUAGUUUUGAUAGUACUUCUACUGCUUCCAAAAAUUGCUUUAGGUAACCUAAUGUGGAAUGCCCCUGGGGAUAAGCCUCUGAAGAUUUUGCACAAGGCCCUUCAUAGAGUUUUCAGGACAGCGUAAUUACUCGGGGCUCCCUGAAAGUGACGAGCAGCAGCCUCAAGUUUUCUGAAUAAUAUAUUCUUGCAUGUUUGACUCAUAUAUAGAUAAAAAGAACAAAAAGUCAAUCACCAUCUAAACCACAAUUUUAUUCUUUUUUUCAUUCAUUUAAUUACUUCAUUGAACACAUUUUUGAGAUUCUCUUAUGUACCAGGCACUGUACUAGGCACCUGGGCUCUUAUCAGCAGACAGCACAGUUCUACCUAUUUAGACGCUCCCAUUCGGGAGGGGCUGGUGGGUGGGGCAGGCAGAGAGGGGCGUGGAGAAUGGUGAAGCAGCAGAUCAUUAAUUCCGGAAAGUGCUAGCUCUGUGCACCUGAGGAGGCCAUGGAAGGUUUGUCUAUUGUCUUGAGCAUUUCGUUUUUCUCAGCAUCAGGGGUCUGUACAUUCUACCUUUCUUCUGAAUCUCACAACGCUUAAGCACUUUGUGGCGGUAUAGUGAAUUCGGUUACUUAAUAUUGACUGGUGGAAGAUGAGAAGAAACUUUUCCUUUGCUUGGAAGAAAGCAACCAUUUUUGAGUUUGCAAAAAUCAAUAUUUAGUCAUAAAAGCACUCCUACAGUAAUAUAUCCCAACUUGUGGAAGCUCAGACUCCAGAGCCAGAUUGUCUGGGUUUGAAACCCGAGCUCUACUGUUACUA
ensembl:lncRNA